rnacentral:rRNA from 4 species
UUAAGCGACUAAGCGUACACGGUGGAUGCCCUGGCAGUCAGAGGCGAUGAAGGACGUGCUAAUCUGCGAUAAGCGUCGGUAAGGUGAUAUGAACCGUUAUAACCGGCGAUUUCCGAAUGGGGAAACCCAGUGUGAUUCGUCACACUAUCAUUAACUGAAUUCAUAGGUUAAUGAGGCGAACCGGGGGAACUGAAACAUCUAAGUACCCCGAGGAAAAGAAAUCAACCGAGAUUCCCCCAGUAGCGGCGAGCGAACGGGGAGGAGCCCAGAGCCUGAAUCAGUGUGUGUGUUAGUGGAAGCGUCUGGAAAGGCGCGCGAUACAGGGUGACAGCCCCGUACACAAAAAUGCACAUGCUGUGAGCUCGAUGAGUAGGGCGGGACACGUGGUAUCCUGUCUGAAUAUGGGGGGACCAUCCUCCAAGGCUAAAUACUCCUGACUGACCGAUAGUGAACCAGUACCGUGAGGGAAAGGCGAAAAGAACCCCGGCGAGGGGAGUGAAAAAGAACCUGAAACCGUGUACGUACAAGCAGUGGGAGCCUCUUUAUGGGGUGACUGCGUACCUUUUGUAUAAUGGGUCAGCGACUUAUAUUCUGUAGCAAGGUUAACCGAAUAGGGGAGCCGAAGGGAAACCGAGUCUUAACUGGGCGUUAAGUUGCAGGGUAUAGACCCGAAACCCGGUGAUCUAGCCAUGGGCAGGUUGAAGGUUGGGUAACACUAACUGGAGGACCGAACCGACUAAUGUUGAAAAAUUAGCGGAUGACUUGUGGCUGGGGGUGAAAGGCCAAUCAAACCGGGAGAUAGCUGGUUCUCCCCGAAAGCUAUUUAGGUAGCGCCUCGUGAAUUCAUCUCCGGGGGUAGAGCACUGUUUCGGCAAGGGGGUCAUCCCGACUUACCAACCCGAUGCAAACUGCGAAUACCGGAGAAUGUUAUCACGGGAGACACACGGCGGGUGCUAACGUCCGUCGUGAAGAGGGAAACAACCCAGACCGCCAGCUAAGGUCCCAAAGUCAUGGUUAAGUGGGAAACGAUGUGGGAAGGCCCAGACAGCCAGGAUGUUGGCUUAGAAGCAGCCAUCAUUUAAAGAAAGCGUAAUAGCUCACUGGUCGAGUCGGCCUGCGCGGAAGAUGUAACGGGGCUAAACCAUGCACCGAAGCUGCGGCAGCGACGCUUAUGCGUUGUUGGGUAGGGGAGCGUUCUGUAAGCCUGCGAAGGUGUACUGUGAGGUAUGCUGGAGGUAUCAGAAGUGCGAAUGCUGACAUAAGUAACGAUAAAGCGGGUGAAAAGCCCGCUCGCCGGAAGACCAAGGGUUCCUGUCCAACGUUAAUCGGGGCAGGGUGAGUCGACCCCUAAGGCGAGGCCGAAAGGCGUAGUCGAUGGGAAACAGGUUAAUAUUCCUGUACUUGGUGUUACUGCGAAGGGGGGACGGAGAAGGCUAUGUUGGCCGGGCGACGGUUGUCCCGGUUUAAGCGUGUAGGCUGGUUUUCCAGGCAAAUCCGGAAAAUCAAGGCUGAGGCGUGAUGACGAGGCACUACGGUGCUGAAGUAACAAAUGCCCUGCUUCCAGGAAAAGCCUCUAAGCAUCAGGUAACAUCAAAUCGUACCCCAAACCGACACAGGUGGUCAGGUAGAGAAUACCAAGGCGCUUGAGAGAACUCGGGUGAAGGAACUAGGCAAAAUGGUGCCGUAACUUCGGGAGAAGGCACGCUGAUAUGUAGGUGAAGCGACUUGCUCGUGGAGCUGAAAUCAGUCGAAGAUACCAGCUGGCUGCAACUGUUUAUUAAAAACACAGCACUGUGCAAACACGAAAGUGGACGUAUACGGUGUGACGCCUGCCCGGUGCCGGAAGGUUAAUUGAUGGGGUUAGCGGUAACGCGAAGCUCUUGAUCGAAGCCCCGGUAAACGGCGGCCGUAACUAUAACGGUCCUAAGGUAGCGAAAUUCCUUGUCGGGUAAGUUCCGACCUGCACGAAUGGCGUAAUGAUGGCCAGGCUGUCUCCACCCGAGACUCAGUGAAAUUGAACUCGCUGUGAAGAUGCAGUGUACCCGCGGCAAGACGGAAAGACCCCGUGAACCUUUACUAUAGCUUGACACUGAACAUUGAGCCUUGAUGUGUAGGAUAGGUGGGAGGCUUUGAAGUGUGGACGCCAGUCUGCAUGGAGCCGACCUUGAAAUACCACCCUUUAAUGUUUGAUGUUCUAACGUUGGCCCCUAAUCGGGGUUGCGGACAGUGUCUGGUGGGUAGUUUGACUGGGGCGGUCUCCUCCUAAAGAGUAACGGAGGAGCACGAAGGUUGGCUAAUCCUGGUCGGACAUCAGGAGGUUAGUGCAAUGGCAUAAGCCAGCUUGACUGCGAGCGUGACGGCGCGAGCAGGUGCGAAAGCAGGUCAUAGUGAUCCGGUGGUUCUGAAUGGAAGGGCCAUCGCUCAACGGAUAAAAGGUACUCCGGGGAUAACAGGCUGAUACCGCCCAAGAGUUCAUAUCGACGGCGGUGUUUGGCACCUCGAUGUCGGCUCAUCACAUCCUGGGGCUGAAGUAGGUCCCAAGGGUAUGGCUGUUCGCCAUUUAAAGUGGUACGCGAGCUGGGUUUAGAACGUCGUGAGACAGUUCGGUCCCUAUCUGCCGUGGGCGCUGGAGAACUGAGGGGGGCUGCUCCUAGUACGAGAGGACCGGAGUGGACGCAUCACUGGUGUUCGGGUUGUCAUGCCAAUGGCACUGCCCGGUAGCUAAAUGCGGAAGAGAUAAGUGCUGAAAGCAUCUAAGCACGAAACUUGCCCCGAGAUGAGUUCUCCCUGACUCCUUGAGAGUCCUGAAGGAACGUUGAAGACGACGACGUUGAUAGGCCGGGUGUGUAAGCGCAGCGAUGCGUUGAGCUAACCGGUACUAAUGAACCGUGAGGCUUAACCUU